GCUUAUUACUGUAGUGCUUCAGGAACUAAAGACACUUUUGUUGUGAGUAUUAAACAGACAGAAUGGUGGGCUUCAGAUAUAUCCCGUUAGGGGUGCUGCAAGCAGCAAAACUGAAACCAAUCAGCUGAAUUGGAGCGCGAAGUUUGACGUAUUUGGUCCUUUUUGCGACAUGUUUUCAGUGUUUGUUCUCUGCUUCCUUAAAAAAGAACACCGUUACAGUUUGCAGUUCGCCAAGCUCAAGGACGAAUGUCGAUAUGUUGAAGAUUCAAGACGGCCAUCUGCAGUCCAGAGAGAAGGGGAGCGGCCAUCUUCAGUCCAGAGAGAGCAGAACAGUGUGUGCACCCCGUGCCGCAGGGGGGUCCAAGUACAUCGCAAGGCUCCUAGCCCGGCGCUCCACCUGUCGGACGUCCCGCCGUCCACGUAGCGUCCCACGUCUCAACUCAAGCCGUUGACGCGUGCGGUGAUCCCGAAAGCUCUGCAUUGCACGGACCACGAGACUUACGCAGCUACAGAGAUUUCCUUGACCAACGAUAUUGCUGCUACACUGCGCCACGCCUCCGCACCGACAAACCCUCGGUCAGCGAACAGUCACGGAAGCCGUAGCCAGACACGCAGCCAGGUGAGCACUGUCUGCGUGACGUUCAACCACCGCACGCUACACACCUAGAAGGCAAGUGCGGCAGGAAGACAGGCCGUUGUCACCGAAUAAUCGGUGGACCAGAACUUGCCCACUCGUUCCGUACUUCU